rnacentral:lncRNA from 1 species
CUGUAUAUGCAAGGCAUAAAGAAAUAUAUACAUAUAAAUGCUUUUAUACACGUCUGCUCAGGAUCCUUUAUCUACUGUGUAAACUCCAUUUUUCCAUGAAUAAAAGUUGGAAUAGUAGAUUACAGUUGCUUUCUCAUUGAAAUUUUUGCUGCUUCUUUUUCUUCCAUUGAUUUGGUUUCUUCACUACAACAAAUAAUACAAAGUGGAAUACAUAUAACAAAGUUUCAUUUUAUAUUUGCCAAUUAUCAAAGGAUCAGAUGACUUUGCAUUACUAACGCUUGAACCGUUGAUGAAUAAUUUAAAAGAAAAAGGAUAACAGAAGUUUGUUUUUCUUAGAAGAGGUUGGGCAUUCUUGACAAGUUAAUCAGAUGUGUUGAACAAAUAGCAAAAAACCAGUAUUAAUGAUAUAAGAAAUUAAGGAUUAACCCCAGGACAUAAUAUUCUUGUUAGCUAUUAGCAUAUCAUCCAUUUACCAUGCAUUACAAUGAGGAAUUUCACUGCUUCAAUACAAAUUUUAGCCAGCAUACAAUAUUAGAAGAAUGGGAAAAGUCCUAUUUCAUCUGUAUUCAAUUUUUUAUUAUUUUUUUCACACUGCCAAGAGGCAUGAACCAUUUUCGGCCUUCAAUAGACCAAAAGGUAAAUCAUGUUAAUUUUUACUCUGCUUUCGUCUAUUGAGUACCAUAUGUUUC